GAGCAUUUUAGUUUGAUUCCCCGAAACCAAGUGAGCUACUCCAAGACAGCCUCUAAGGGCGUACCCGUCUCUGUGGCAAAAGAGUGGGAAGAUCUUUGAGUAGAGGUGACAGACCUACCGAACCUGGUUAUAGCUGGUUGCUCAGGAAAUGAAUAGGAGUUCAGCCUUUUGUCCUCUUCCUACACAAACUGGGUACACCCACAAGCACUAAAGUAGGACAAAGGAGUUAGUCAAAGGGGGUACAGCCCCUUUGAAAAAGACACAACUUUGCCAGAAGGGUUAAGAUCACAACAACUUUUUAAGGGCAAGUGUUCUAGUUGGCCUAAGAGCAGCCACCCACACAGAAAGCGUUAAAGCUCAAACACCUAUGAAUCCCUACUAUUCCGACCACAAAAUCUUACCCCCCUAACCAUACUGAGCCUUCCCAUACCCAUAUGGGAGCGAUCAUGCUAAUAUGAGUAAUAAGAGACCCAGAAUCUCUCCCUGCACAAGCGUACAUCGGAACGAACCAACACCGAAAAUUAACGGCCCCAAAGAAGAGGGCACUGAAAUAUCACAAACGGUACACUAGAAAACCAUCCACCACCCCACCGUUAACCUUACACCAGAGUGCACACAAGGAAAGACUAAAAGAAAGAGAAGG
rnacentral:rRNA from 1 species